AAAGAGAUCUGGCCCAUGUCCUAAGGACAUUUCAGGUGUUUAAUGCACUAUAUAAAGAGGGUGGAAUGAAAAUUACUAUUUCUUUCAAAGGUGGCACAAUAAUUUCCCUGAAUAUCCAGUUUUUCCCUCCUCUCCCUUUGUGGUUUUGUCUAUUGGGCUAUUUGCUUUCCCUUUGAAUCUUUAGUUGCUUUAGCAAAACUGCUUUGCCCAAAAUAAAUCUCACCCUGUUCUACAUUUUUUUUUUUUAAAGUAACAUUUCAAAGAAAAUCUAUAAGCAUCACAGCCCAUGAUCCUCUGCUGGGGAGGGAAUGGGAUAGAUUUGAGUUUGAAAAUGGUUUCUGAUUUUGAUUGCAUUUUUUGUGUAUUAUACUAUUGGAGACUGCAUCAUCCACGGGGCAGAAAAGAAUUGCCCCUGCCUUGGUCUCAUACCCCCUCCCCCCAACAACUGUGAGUGAAAUUAACAAAGAUGUCAGAAAUGGCCCCAAUCCCAUGGUCUGAACCACAGAGGAAACAGCUGAGUUUAAAUUGUUCUUAUGCAGGCAGCAGGCAUCCUGGGCAGGCUUCUCCCUCAGCCAGUCCCCCUGCUCCCUGCUGCAAGCUAGAGGAAAGCUGUUGCAGCCCCUGCUGAGUGCUUUUGGAGGGGAGCGUGGAGCCUAUGUGUGUCAGCAGCCUGGGUGGAAGAGGAGGGAGAACAAGGAAAAAAAUAUGAGCGUUUUCACUUUUUCAGGCUUAUUCCAAUAUUAAAGUUUUAUUACAGACAGUAUAGGUAGUAGUAGUAGCAGCUGCUUUAUUUUCUAAUCUCAGUCAUGCAAUGGGAGGGAUCCAUGAAGUAUGGAGGAGAGGUGGGUUGCUUGCAAUUGGACUGUACUGGUAAGAAAUGUAAAUUACUUUCACCCCUGAUAGUAAGGUCAUUUUCAAGACCUUCUCCAAGGAGAGUGCAUUACUGUAGUUUUAGUGGGCAAGUGAUAAAGAUGAAACAAACUUUGUUAGAAAAAUAGUUCUAAUCUCUUAGGGAAGCACCAUUGACGCCCUGAGAAUUCAGGGAUGGCUCCAAUAAGACACACAGCUUCUGAGUACAAGGAACACACAUCCCCCAACAUAAGCAAUAUCAAUGAUUGAUUCUGUGUAUAUUUUGUUAUGAAAUGUUUUUGUUCUACAAAGUUACUCCACAACUUUAACUCUGAUCUAGAAUGCAGCAUGCCUGUUUCCUCUCUGUGGGUCUCUUGGCCCCUUGGAAAUAACUUGUUGACAAUCACUUAAAUAUUAAUAGGGCUAUCCAGUGGGACACUUCUGAUUAGGAGGAAAACAAGAUCAAGCACUGCUAAAUAACUGUCAUUCAAAGUAGCUUAAAUGCAAACUUACUUUACAGACCAAAACUGUGUCUACAAGUAUGACAGUUGAAAAGUAGAUUGUUUGAGCCUAUUACAUUCCUGGAAAAAGGGUAGCAUAAUCAAAUGCCUGUAGUAAUCCUUUUAAAGUAUGAGUAUUGGCGGACAAGCCCUAAACAAGAUAACAUUUUCACCAAUUGUAGCCAAGUUGAAAUGUUUGACAAUUAAACAUUGAAAUAUUGUUUAUUUACAUAAGGAGUAUUAAUGAAUGAGGGUACAUUCAGUUAAUUAAAAAUACCCACCAAAAUGCACUUUGACACCACCUUGGCUGGGUAGGGUUUUAGUUAUUGACUGUAUCCCUUUGUUUCCUACUUACAGUUUAAUGUGUAGUUAAAGGCCAUACAGAAUCACUAACACAUUGGGAUGCCUGACAUGGUAACUUGCUAAUAUAGGCUUUUGUACAUGCUUUGAAUAGUGGUAACGCCUGUAAGCUUCAAUUAUUGUGCUAGGGUCCUUUGCUUGAUUAGCUGCUAAAAGUGCAUUUAUUAUAUCCUUCACGCAAGGCUAUCCCUUUGCUUAUCAAACACUAAUGAAGCCUUACAACCCUCACUUGCUAUGACUCAAGAAUGUGUAUUACACUUUUACAGGCAAAUAAAACACUAUAAAUAUCUGUAGUCUCAGGGCAUGUCUACCCUACAAAUGUACAGCAGCUAAGCUGUGCCACUAUAGCACUUCUGGUGAAGACGCUUUAAGCCGACAGAGAGCUAUAUUAGCAAGGAGAGUGCACUCCUGUUGGCGCAAUAACUCCACCUCUGUGAGAGGCAGUAGCUGUCAGCAGGAGAAGCUCUCCCACCAACAGUGUUGUCUACAGCAGUGCUUAGGUCAGUAUAACUAUGUCGCUCAGGCAGUGUGGAUUAAUCACACCCCUCAGUGAUGUAAUUACACUAAAGUAAUUUUGUAGUGUUCAGGGCUCAAGGGGGCAGAAAGGAAUGAACCAAAUAUUAUUGUAAUUUGCACAUUAAGCAUGCAGUUAGGAACUUACCCCUCCCUCUGUGAAACAGGUAAAUAUUGUACAUUUUUCUGCCUUAUAAAUUGAAGGCUAUUCAGCAUGCCACCCUUUACAGAUCUCAUGGCUCCAUGUCAGUCAAGUGCUGAAUUAAAGACACACCUCCUUUCCCUUCCCUCUAAUUCUUUUGGCUCCUUUUUUCUGGAAGUGCUUAACCUGCACCUGACUUCUUUUAUCAUAUGCCUUUUAAUGAUUUUUUUCUUCUCUCUUUCCAGGUAUAAAGUGCAAAAAAAAUGAAACAAGGCCGGGAAAUUAUAGGAUAAAGCCAAGAUAAAAGGAGAGCAACAGCCGAAGGGCCUUAUACUUAAGCUAUGAUUGACAGAGCCUUGCUUUUUUUCUGGGUAGGUGAAACCAUGAAAAGCCUCAAAUGUUUUUGGCUGUAAGGCUGGGAAAAACUACAAGAGGCACUACAGAUGAGUAAAUGAAGUUGGAUUACUUGUAACAGGACUUCUUCAAGAUGAGACUGCGUAUUACGGGUAUUGCACUUGAUGUCCCCUUUGAUUCCUUCCCUCAGCAUCUCUGAACAGAAUGAGGGCAAAGCACAGGAUGUGUGAAAAUAUAAAAACCACUCAGGUUUGUGUCUGAUAGAAUUUGUCUCUCUUCUUGGAGAUUGGUCAACUUCUGCCUUUUAACAGCCUAGCAGGCUGCAGCAGGCCAUUGAGAAUUGGUAAGGAUAUACUGCUCUUGGAGGAAUCCCCAAGAAUGUCAAACACUGGAUGAGAGGUCUCCUCCACGGCUACUGAAGGUGAAUUCAAUAUGGAUGCUGUGUGACCCACCAGGUCAUGGAACUGUAGAGCAUCCUCAGAAUGAAAAGAGGCAGAUGCUCAUCUGGUGAUAAAUCAGGUUUGUAGUCUCUCUCAUCUCUUUUUGAACAAGACCAUACAAUCUCAUCUUCCUCUUCCGAUAGAGUAUCAGGUGCCACUGCCUCAGAUGCAGAUGGAUCCAAUGGAACUAGGUCCAGGGAUUCUCAGCUGCCAGAUUCACUACAGGUGAAACAUCCCCUCUCCAUCUACAAGGAUGACAACUUACAAAUUCCUGAAGCAGCACACCAUUAUAGAGCCCAGGACACAAAUCCACAAGAGGACGAGGAGGAGCAAAAGGAGGCAUGAACCAGGAGUAAUCAGUUCUCUUCCUCCUUUAUCCUCCUCUAAACAUGGAUCCAGCCUUGGCUCUGUGCUGGACCACACAGAUGAGAGCGAUGGUCCUAGAGGGUGGCAAGAAAUAAACAGGGAGAAAGCUUUUCAUGGAGACUGUAGGAGACUUUGGAGGAGGAAGUCUAGACAGAUCAGAGGAGAGGCUAAUAAUCUCUUGCUCUUCUCCUUUUUUCAGGUGAAGACAAACAGCCUCUCUCUUCCUCAAGAUCCUAUUUCUUACUCAGAAGCCAAACAGUGAAUAUCUGCCACUAAAGUAAGGGUCCACAUAAGAUCUGAAGAGGGACCCAGAACCAGAGCAGAGCUUGGAGCUGAAGAGCAGGAUAGUGCAGAAGCCAAUGAAAUACCAUUGGUUCUCGAAGUUGAAACAGGAUUGGGUUUUGGAGCUGAGCCAAAGGGCCCAUGACAGAGUUGGACGGAUCCAACAAAUCUGACACGUGAUCUGGCAUUCUAACAGCCUAACCCUGAAGAAGAGCUCCGUAUAGCUUGAAAGCUUGUCUCUCUCACCAAUAGAAGAUGGUCCAGCAAAAGAUAUCGUGUCCCUCACCUUGGCACAUCUAACAGUGUCCGUCUUCUCCCUUGCUGCCUUUUUUUGUAACUGACACAACUGGAGCAAAUCUGGCUGUAAGUUCAAAGGCAGGUGGUUUGGCCUUUCUCCACCAACAAUGCCUUCGAAACUCUGACUGCCUGAGCCACAGGAUCUGGAGUAGGACCCAAGAAAGUUCCAGUUUGCUGGAAUUUUUGAGGUGCUUUGACUUGCUGGAAGUCGUCACGGGAGCCAAAGCAGGUGUCUCAGGCCUUGGAUCAGAUGAGUGCCUAGAGCCUCAUAUUCCUCUUUAAGGAGAAGCACUUACAAUCUCUUCUGCCUCUCCUGGCGAGGCCUGGGCAUGAAAAUCCAACAGAUGAAACAUGCAGGAGAGUGUUCCUUGUCCAAGCAGUUCAGGUACCUAUGUGAUCAUCCAACGCCAGAAAAACAGCCAGGCAUGAAGCACACCUCUUGAAUCCCAGCUCCUUCAGUUCCACCAUCACCCAGAACUGAGAAUUCCUGAAAUAGUCCUUGGACAUGGGGAUUAGAACUUCAGUAGGACUAGCCCUGUUCUAAAGGUACGUAUGUGCAUCUAGAUGGCACCAUCUAUUUCAUUAAAUGUAAGAAAACCCAUGUCAUAAUGAAAGGUAAAGGUUGGCUCAAUUAAAAUCCCAACUCUAAUAGAGUGCUAUUAGCAAAUGCUCUACUGCAUAAUCUUGGGCUUUGACUCCACUUUAAACGGUGAUGGUUACAGAUACCAUGCAGCUCCAUGCAAAUAAUUCCAGUUUUUUCAGACAAGUCAUUGCAAUGAGUACAAAACCAGUGUUUUCAACAUACCACAUUCUUGAUGACCUCAUCUUUGCCAUCAUGCUUUUGUACUUUCAGCAAAUGGUAGCAGAAAUCCAAAACAUCAAAGCGACGCUGCUGUCCCAAAAGCACAAUGAUCAUACAUCCAGCCCAGUGCAGCCCAUCUCCAAAGCACUGUCUGUAAUAGAGUACAAAGUCUAUGAAAAUUGUAUAUUUCACCUAAAACUCCCAAGAACCAGUUAGCAUGAACUAUUGAGUCACUGGACAUUUUCUCUUCAAAAAAAUAGGAGUCUAAAAACCAUGCAUAAGAUGUUUUCCAGGCUGAGGUUUAUAACCCUGUCAUUUAGAAUCAUUCUCUAUUAAAUGAACAAUAUUUAGAAACUGCAAGCACUAGAAAUGCUGAAAAUCUUUAUCCAAUUUUAAGUUCUUCCAAAAAUAUUUGCUCCCCAUUACUCUGCAGCAGUGCUACUGUCACAUUAACCAACAGAACAAACUGAUAAUGCCACACCACCACAUUUAGUUGGUCUCUGUGGAUUAAUGGGAGCAAUGUCCUAAGACUUCCCAUCAACAACUGGCCAAUGAGAGGCAAAUUGUAGCUCAAUCUUUCCUUCUGAAAACUGACAAACAUAAUGCAAAGAACUAAAGAAUUGAAGAUUGCAGGACACUAACUUCUGAAUUCUCAUUCCUGCUGCUAACCCACAGAAAAUAAGCAAGUACCUGAUAAAUUACUUAUAAAAGUUAUUUUACUUAAAUUCAGCAACUGUAGUGGGAUAAGCAUCACUGGUGUUGAGAGGUGUACACUAGGAUCUCUUCCUUAUGGGAUCUUCUAUUAUGUACCAACAUAUUUAAAAUACAUGAUUUUUAAAAGAUACAAUUAAUAUUUGUGUUCCUGUGCUAAUAGGCCCUCUCAGUCCCUUGUUCUUUGUUCUGUGCUUGCCUCACUGAGCCAUGUCAGAAAUAUGAACACCAGCAUUAUGUUUUAUAUCCCCACUUCUAGCCUGGAAAUACAAUAAAGUACUGUUGCAAGCAAGUGCAUAAUUGGCAGCCUAUGAUACAUACUCCACAGUAAACUCGUGUGUUCCCACAGGAAUGCAGUACACAAACUGCAUCGCACUCCAGAGACGGUGAAAUUCCACACAUUCAUCCACAUGCAUCACGCCAUUGCUGGGAAGGGGGCCACGCCAGAUUGGGUCAUCCAGGAAGGUCCGAAUCCUCGUCAAGAUGACCUCAAACAUGGAUAGGCCACAGCAGAGGCGUUCCUUGGUCAGCAAAUCUCCUUCCCUUGCUAUUGCAAUUUGCUAAGAUUGAGAGGAGGAAAUAAAAAGUAAAUGAAACAGCAUUUCAGAUUAGUUAUGGGGGAGGUGUGGUUUGUUUGAAAGCCUUAUAUUUGUGCAGGACGAAGCUCUAUUAGGGUGUUAUGCUGAUCUGAAAACAGCAAAGAAAACCCCACAGCAAGAUGCCUGGGCCAGCCAACUUCUGGGGCUCAGGCUGCGGGGCAGUUUCAUAGCUGUGUAGACUUCUGGGCUCGGGCUGGAGCAAAGCUCUGGGGCCCUUCCACCCAGACAUCUACACAGCAGUGAAACAGCCCCGCAGCCCAAGCCCUGUGAGCCUAAGUCAGCUGACACGGGCCAGCUGUGGGUUUUAAUUUGCUGUGUAGACACGCCCCAAGAGUACUGUAAGACAGUUUACCUGCGUGCCCCAAUUCCAGUUCUGCACAUUGCCUUGGAGCAGAUUCAUUCGAGUGAAUUCAGACUGAGUUGUUUAAACAAAAGUAGUAUUACCAGCUGGGUCACUAGUUUUGACUCUCCUUUUUGAACCAGUGCUUUUAAGGUCUCCUGGAGUCAAGGGUCAAGUGAAUGAUGGAAGCCACAAAACACCAACAAUGAAAUAUCUGGGUUAAUUUUUUCACCCGCUCAAUGGAAGAGAAGUUUUUAAAGGCUUUCUGAGUGGAAAGGACAGACGCUACUGUACUGCGCCAAGGUUUGCAACGUUGGUUUUUGUUUGCCUGGGUUUUUUUUUUUUGUGUUUUGUUUUGUUUUUUAACUGAAAUGAGUCAGAAGACAAAAAUUGGUGUGUUCUGUUGUCUGCUGGCAGGCCCAGGUAAUGGUCCCUCCCUCACUUAUUGCUGACUCCCUGGCCUGCUGCUAUCAGAGGCUGAUGUGCUUCAAAGCGAGCAUGAAGAUAUCUGUACAACUGUAGUAAACUGAGAUUUAUAAUCAAUACUUGCUCUCUCUAUAUUGUACCAGCUUGUGCCCUCCCAUUGUAAGUUCUCUGCGGUAGGGACCGUGUUGCUUGCUCAGCACAGCUCAUCUAACUCUACCCGUGGUGCUAAAGGUAGUCUGAACUCUAUACUUGACAUCAUUCCCUUUUGGCCCCCCAAAUCCCUGUCUCUCAAGCACAGAGUGUCAGCUGUUGAAGCAAAUGGGGAAUGAAACACACUCUACAAGGACACAGAGGAGAAUGGCCUCUGGACAGCAAGAGCAGUUCACUGACAAGGCAUUGAGGAGGAAGAAUGUUCUCUGUUAGUAAUUAAUUUUCCAGGAAAGCUCAGAUCAAAUAGAAGAGUUGGUUUCCAAAAAGGUUCUGAUUUUAUCCAAUUUGUUCACUGAAUCACAAGAGAACAAAUGACUUUUUUAAAAGGUCACAGAGCAAAUCAGUUGCUUUUGGUGGAAUUUGAACAGGGAGCCCCUUGGGUUCAAAUCCUUUGCUUUACACAUUAUAUCACAAUAGUGUACAUGGAAAUUAACACUUUAAUCCUCUCCUAAAACUUAAAAUGUCACCUCUGCACUGUCCCAAACAUUCAGACAAUAAGCCACCUGUGCACACAAGCUGCUGACCAACUUUACUGAAUCCAUGGAUUUACUACAGGCCUCAUUGUGUGAACAAUUUGUGUGUGACAUUUGUAAUUCUGACAUGGCUACUGAUAUUGUAAGGGUCUCAGGUUUCUUGUGCACUGAUAUUUCUGCAUAAAAUGUCUGGGGCACAAAAUGUAGGACAUUACCUGGGGUGUUCCUAAUCUUUCAAUCAGAGGAACAAGAUGGAGUGGAGCAUAUUUUGAUUCUAGUCUUUUCAUUUUAGCAUCAAGUCUUUCACCCUCUGAAAGAGAGAAAAAAAAACAAAAAACAAAAACCCAUGUUAUCCUUUAAAGUUAGGUGACUUCACUUUAUAAACAAAGAACAUUGCUGUACAGAAAUUCGUGGUUUUAUUGCAGUUUAUUUUUGUCACAGUAGGAGUUGUGUAAAUUAUUCCUUUGAUGGGUAAUUUAAUUCAAAAUGGCUUGCUUUUUCUUCAGUAUGCAUUUUAUUUGAUGUAUAGUAUCCAUUGACAGGUUUAUUCCUUUAACAAUGUUACAUUAUCAUUCAUGUUUAAAGAAACUAACUAUACAGGCAAAAACUAGUAGUGAAACUCAUUUUGUUAUUAACUCAUUUCUGCCCUCAAAAUAAGGCUCUUAUGCUGUCUAUAACAUAGUGUGACCCCCAUGCAUACUGAGACAAUUAAAAUCACCCUUAUCACAUGCAAAAUACUUGCCUCCAGAGGAUGGGGUUAUACUGAAGGUGUUUUAUGUAUGGAAAAGUUAAAAAAAAAACAAAAAAAAAACCCCAACACUCACCAUUAGUGAGUAGGAAAUGUUCUCUGGUGACUGGGUGAAUAAAAUUUGCAAUGAUCUGGUUAGUCAGAUGGCUGUCUACAGGGAUCUGAGUAACUGCAAUAAAUCUAAUAAGGCUCUUUCACUUUGUUAUUUAUGUGAAUCCUAUGAGCAGAGGCAUAGAUAGAUCUGCUGCUGCUGGUAGUGGGGCAGAAGUAGGAAAAGAGGAACACACACACACAAAAGCAGUAGAAGGAUAAAACGGGGAACAGAAGCAGCUCACCUUCCAGCAGUCAGGAAGGGGAGAAGAGAAGAUAGACUGGAAGGAACAAAUCCUGCAAGGUAAUUCAGCAAAGCAUUUAAGCAUUUGAAAAGUCUGUGGCAACCAUGCAUGUGGUUGUGCUUUGCUGGAUCAGAGAGACAGUACUCAGCACCUUGCAGGAUCCAGCCCUAACCCUCCCCAUCCCCAAGUUUAUUUUGCACACCUACAAGCCAAGGCUGAUAUGAAGAAUGGGACCUCAUAGCAAGUCCAGCAUUCUCCAACCUCAUCACCAAGUGGGGAUGAGGCAGCGUUGGGCAUAUCGCCAGUGUGCUGCACAGAGCAUUCUUGAUCACCCCAGCCCUGGGAGCCCUGGUUAAUAGGCUUAGGCCUCCUGCUUUUCUGUGUCCUGUACAAUUGUCAGGCUUGCAGAUACUCAGGAAUUUGCUGUCUUUACAAAUGAAUAGUGCUUGUGUAAAGAAAGUUUCAGAGUGAUGAAUUCACCAACAAGGAAGCAACAUCGGGGAUAAUACUGCUGGAGAAUAAAUGCUCGUCUAGCCCAUACCUUUGACAUGAACCCUUGGUAAUAUAUUCUGGAAUGGUGCAGCAUGCAACAGGUCACACACUUCCUCUAGUGACUAGAACAAAAAGAAACAAGAAGCAUUUAGGAGUUAAACAGCAGCAGCAUGUCAAGGGCACCAAAAUCUGCUUCUAAAAUCAUGCUGAUAUUCUAAAACAAACAGCGGCUGACACCAGAGGGCAGCAAGCACCUACAGUUAGAACAAACACAUGCUGCUUUUGGCUCCCUUUUCACAGAAGUAUUUAGCAGCAAUUUGGCUUUUGCAGGUUACCUUGGAUUCACAAAGAUUUACAGCAACUCUACCCACCCAGAGUUGGCAGUUCUUAAAGGACGGAGGCUAUUUAUUGAAAAGAUAAAUGCAGAAUGACGAAGUUCUGUGUUAAAGUGGCAGACGGAUCCUGUGUAGACACACAAUGUGAACAAAGCAGUCUUGGCGAGGCAGAGCCGGGAAGCAGACCAGGUGCAGAGUCUUAAAUGCUUUCCCUAAGAUGCCGGGGCAUAGAAGCCCAGGGACCUGACGGUGGCUCUAGAAUCUUUCAGGCCAUGGAAUUUUGCAUCUGUUUGUUUGGAGAAGAGAGAAGCUCAAACGGAAGGUCCUGAAUGGACUACUGAACCUCGGGUGAUAGUCCUGAGGAUUGGAGUCAAGAGCACCUUUCCAUGACCACUGCUGAUGCCUUUGUUCUAUCAGCUAUGCCAAGAGCAGCCUGAAGGGAGGCCCUGGUUACAGUCUUCCCUUUCUCCAUCAGAGCGGAGAAUUCCUGUCUGGACUCCUGUGGCAGUGAGUCCUUGAAUUUUGAUAGAGCGGCCCUUCUCUCAGACUCCACCGAGUACAAACGACUGAAAGGCAGUCCCGAUACCGGGGGGAAAUCCAAUAGAUUCCAAAAAGGCCAUUGGACUGGCAUUGGCUACUGCCCACUGGGCCAGGUGCCUGGAGGAGCACCUGCACUGGGAUCAGAUGGACCGUAGGUUGGGUACUGGUAUUGGCCCCUUGGUUGGGUGCAAGAUUCCACCUCUGACUCUGAGAACAAGUUGGCUUGAGAGGACCAUGGGGGGAUGGUACCCCUCGCUUCCGUCAGCCAGAGCCAAGGGUCUGGGGAAAGUGCUGGAGCAAGGAAGUCUUUGCUAACAUCAGCAGGUUGGUUUCCCUCUGGUUGGUAUCAGUGCUAGGAUAGGAGCUUGGGGCAACAUGCUUCCUUCGCUUGAUGACCUCACUGGUGCCAGAACUUGCCCCGCUGGAGUCUGCGGAACCAGGAGAGUCAUCAGGUCCCUGACUGCUACAAAUGUCUCUGGGGUGGACAGCACCGUGUCCCGCUGGCACCACAAUGUUCACCCAGUGUCGGAGGAUGGUGCUGCACUGGACUUGUGAGUAGGGCAGAGUCAACGGUGCUGCUUGCCGGCAUAUAGGAGUGGCUGCUGGAAGAGCAUUCCACACGAAUGCUGAGGUACUCAGUGCAGCGUCCGACCAGCUUGACUCGGACUUUGGUCUGAGUGCAGGUGCCACAAGUACUCCUUUUCUUAUUACUACUAAAAGAGAUAAACUAAAGGUAACUAAACUCAUGAAAGAACGGAACAGAAGCACCCAUGAAUGCCUUGCAAAGGCAAGAGAAGUUGUUCCAGUGACCGUCACAGGUUGUAAAGAAGGAACUGAGAGCGCACGGCGCCGGCUAGGCCCCUUAUACUGACGCAUGAGCGCAUGGCACCAGAGGAUGCUAGAGCCAGCCUGACGGAUAUCACUGAGGGAAAAAUCUGCAGCGACUGUGCACAUGUCAUGCGCACACUAACAUGGAAUGGAAAUGAGCAAGCACUCAAAGAAGAACAAGGUCUUAUAAUGGAAAGUUUCACACAAAUUUAACUAGAGGCGUCGCCACCUGUGCCACCUGUAACAUUUUCCCCCUUUAUACUGCCUUGUAUCCACCUGAGGGUCACAAAGCAGCACAUAAUUUAACCUCACAACAUCCCUUUGUAUCCCUAUUUUACAGACAGGGAAAACUGAAGCAAAAAGACAGAGGGAGACUUGGUCACACAGCAAGUCUUUGGCCCAGAUCUCCUUAGCCCCCACACCGUACAUCCCAUUGUACAUUAUCUAAGAGCAUAAGGAGGACAUACUGAGCCAGACCACUGGUCAAUCCAGCCCAGUAUCCUUCUGACUGCGGCCAAUGCCAGGUGGUUUAGAAGGAAUGAACAGAACAGGCAAUCAUCAAGUGAUCCAUCUUCUGUCGCCCAUUGCCAGCUUCUGGCAA